UACGUAGGGGCCUAGCGUUGUCCGGAUUUAUUGGGCGUAAAGAGCUCGUAGGCGGUUCGGCAAGUCGGAUGUGAAAUCUCCACGCUCAACGUGGAGGGGCCAUUCGAAACUGCUGUGACUUGAGUCCGGUAGGGGGGUGUGGAAUUCCCGGUGUAGCGGUGAAAUGCGCAGAUAUCGGGAGGAACACCAGUGGCGAAGGCGACUACCUGGCCUGUUCUUGACGCUGAGGCGCGAAAGCUAGGGGAGCAAACGGG
rnacentral:rRNA from 1 species